rnacentral:rRNA from 1 species
UACGGAGGGUGCGAGCGUUAAUCGGAAUUACUGGGCGUAAAGCGCGCGUAGGCGGUUUGGUAAGUCAGAUGUGAAAUCCCUGGGCUCAACCUAGGAACUGCAUUUGAUACUGCCAGUCUAGAGUGUGGUAGAGGUGAGUGGAAUUUCAGGUGUAGCGGUGAAAUGCGUAGAGAUCUGAAGGAACAUCAGUGGCGAAGGCGACUCACUGGGCCAUUACUGACGCUGAGGUGCGAAAGCGUGGGUAGCAAACAGG